GUACUUGAGGAGGAAGCCCCGGCUAACUACGUGCCAGCAGCCGCGGUAAUACGUAGGGGGCUAGCGUUAUCCGGAAUUACUGGGCGUAAAGGGUGCGUAGGUGGUUUCUUAAGUCAGAGGUGAAAGGCUACGGCUCAACCGUAGUAAGCCUUUGAAACUGGGAAACUUGAGUGCAGGAGAGGAGAGUGGAAUUCCUAGUGUAGCGGUGAAAUGCGUAGAUAUUAGGAGGAACACCAGUUGCGAAGGCGGCUCUCUGGACUGUAACUGACACUGAGGCACGAAAGCGUGGGGAGCAAACAGGAUUAGAUACCCUGGUAGUCCACGCCGUAAACGAUGAGUACUAGCUGUCGGAGGUUACCCCCUUCGGUGGCGCAGCUAACGCAUUAAGUACUCCGCCUGGGAA
rnacentral:rRNA from 1 species